rnacentral:lncRNA from 1 species
GAUACAGUGGAGAGGCUUGUCAACGUCACCGUAAUUGCCCCAGAUAACAAUGCUUUCAAUGGUACCAAUGGAUUACUCUCUCUUCUUCGACAGAACAACCUCAACCUGACUGACGUUACUGCCCCGUAAGUGACCGCAUUGGUUUUCUUCCUCUGUGAUCCAAAUCUCCAAAGUUGAAGGCUGAAGGGUGCUCGGAGUUUUGAGUGCUUUUAACCAUCCAUUUGAUAAUUCAAGUCACCACUGUAAACUAGGGUGGAUGCAAGGUGGACUAAUGUAGUCGUGCUGUCAUGUCAAAUCCUUACAACAGAGGACAGAAUCGUGCUGCCAGCAUCCUGCUGUAUCACAUCAUUGCGGGUCCUGCUAGAGCCGCCGACCUCAAGAACAACCAGGUCUUGACCACCUUCCUCGGACCAAACUACACACUGCGAGUGAACAAGCAGACCGCUCCCACCCUCAUUGUCUCUUUCGUCGGAACUGGAAGCAACG